rnacentral:tRNA from 1 species
GCCCGAAUAGCUCAGUUGGUAGAGCAACGGAUUGAAAAUCCGUGUGUCGGUGGUUCAAAUCCACCUUCGGGCACCA